UCUGAAUUUAUUCAGACCGGGAGAUACAGAUCUGCAGCACUUUACAUGAUAGAUUUGCGUUCAAAUAAAGGAUCCAUAAAAAGCUUUAAAAUAAAUUCAUGCAGCUAAAUUCUUGGUGUGGAAUGUCAACUGCUAACAAUAAUUCACAAUGAGAUCUUCUUUUAAAAUGCUGUACUAUAGAAUAACAUGUUUCCAAAAUUCUUAGUUACUUUCAAUACAUAAUUUGCAAACAUGUUGCUAGGUUUUGAAAUAUCUUAUCCCAUAUAAAGUUGUCCAAUAAAAUACUUUAUUUGGCUAAGGCUGGUGUAGGGAAUUUCAAGAUUUUAAAAAGAUUCUUUUGAAAUAGAUAUCGAUUCCAGUUUAUCCACUCUUAAAGAUUUUUUUAAAUAAACCAGUGUAUUAAUUUAUGGACUUUACUGGGUCGAUUUAAUAGGUGUAGAAUAUUUUUGGUCAAAAUUAUAUUAUUUUUUAUCAAUCCUUCUUUGUCUAGAUAAUUAACAAAAAUUUUGUAUGCAUUUAAUUAUCAUUGUUAAUAAAAAUUAUUAAAGAUCAUAAUGUAAUAUCUAUGUAUUGUAAACCUUCAAGUUAAUACUGUCUGGUCAUGAAUUAUGUGACCCAUUAUCACUUUAUUUUUAUAAGGUCUUACUACAUGCAAUCCUGUAUGAUACCAUUUACUAGUAUUCUUCAAGGUUUUUUUAGUAGCAAAUUACUUGUAGCAUGUAUAUUUACUUAAAAGGGCUGAAAAAUUAUUGCCAUUUUUCUUUACUAAACAAUGGUCACAAUGAAUAUAUUUCAAAUUAUAAGGUAGAUCUGAUGGUCGUUUGUUGACCAUCGAGCCUAAUUAUGAUUGCUAUGUCUAUUCCUCUUGGGAAUAAGUGAUUUUUUAAAUGUAUAUUCCAGAAAAUUUUGUAGAAAAUUCCGUAGUAAAACCGUCUUAUUUAAAUUUUCUAGAAAAAAAAAACUUGCAAUAAGCAUAAAUUCAUGUACGUUGUAGUAACUGGAUUUUGUGGAGAAAUUAAAUAUAGUAAAUAAGGAAUGAAUUUUGCAGAUUUGUUACCGUAAAAUAUUUUACAUUUUUAUUUCUGUUUGGAAUUUGUAUAUCAUUGUUAAUUUUUUCUAAUUUUAUUGAUAUUUUUUAUUUCAUUUUUUAUUUUAUUAAACAAUAUCUUAAUAUAAAAAGAGUAAAUAAGAUGCUUAAUUUGUAAACCGAAUUCUUGAUUUUUGUCAGAUUUUUCAAACCAAUAACAAGUAGUGUAACAUGGCCAUAAUCAAAUGUAGAACGAAUAAAGUUUAUC
rnacentral:sRNA from 1 species